rnacentral:rRNA from 1 species
UACGAAGGGUGCAAGCGUUACUCGGAAUUACUGGGCGUAAAGCGUGCGUAGGUGGUUCGUUAAGUCUGAUGUGAAAGCCCUGGGCUCAACCUGGGAAUGGCAUUGGAUACUGGCGACCUAGAGUGCGGUAGAGGGUAGCGGAAUUCCCGGUGUAGCAGUGAAAUGCGUAGAUAUCGGGAGGAACAUCCGUGGCGAAGGCGGCUACCUGGACCAGCACUGACACUGAGGCACGAAAGCUAGGGGAGCAAACGGG